CACGGGGGGAGCAAGCGUUGUUCGGAAUCACUGGGCGUAAAGGGCGUGUAGGCGGUCGAGUAAGUGGGAUGUGAAAUGCCUCGGCUUACCCGGGGACCGGCAUCCCAAACUGCUUGGCUUGAGUAUGGGAGAGGAUGAGGGAAUUCCUGGUGUAGCGGUGAAAUGCGUAGAUAUCAGGAGGAACACCGGUGGCGAAAGCGCUCAUCUGGCCCAAUACUGACGCUGAGGCGCGAAAGCUAGGGGAGCAAACGGG
rnacentral:rRNA from 1 species